AACCAAAACUCUUUGUCAGGGUGUAUCUACAGUUUUUAUGCUGAAAUUCUUCAAAAGAUAUGUCUGUUACAGUCUUGGAAAAUUAAUACUAUUCGCUGCGUUUCAAACCGUUUCGUUCUGAAACAAUAUCUGAAUGCAUUUUAGAAGGACAACCUUUGUUUUAAAGGUAUACCUUCGCCUUUUAGAAUAGGAGGGAUUUUAUGAGUUGACAUUAUAACUGAUAUAGCUAUUCUAUAUCCUUAUACUAUAAUGUCGUAGUAAAAAACCCUACAACC
rnacentral:snoRNA from 1 species